rnacentral:rRNA from 1 species
GAGUUUGAUCGUGGCUCAGGAUGAACGCUGGCGGCGUGCUUAACACAUGCAAGUCGAACGAAGCACUUGAAUGGAAUUCUUCGGAAGGAAGCUCAAGUGACUGAGUGGCGGACGGGUGAGUAACGCGUGGGUAACCUGCCUCAUACAGGGGGAUAACAGUUAGAAAUGACUGCUAAUACCGCAUAGGACCACGGUACCGCAUGGUACAGUGGUAAAAACUCCGGUGGUAUGAGAUGGACCCCGCGUCUGAUUAGGUAGUUGGUGAGGUAACGGCCCACCAAGCCGACGAUCAGUAGCCGACCUGAGAGGGUGACCGGCACAUUGGGACUGAGACACGGCCCAAACUCCUACGGGAGCAGCAGUGGGGAAUAUUGCACAAUGGGGGAAACCCUGAUGCAGCGACGCCGCGUGAAGGAUGAAGUAUUUCGGUAUGU